GAUGAAGAACGCAGCGAAAUGCGAUAAGUAAUGUGAAUUGCAGAAUUCAGUGAAUCAUCGAAUCUUUGAACGCACAUUGCGCCCUCCGGUAUUCCGGGGGGCAUGCCUGUUCGAGCGUCAUUAUAACCACUCAAGCUCUCGCUUGGUAUUGGGGUUCGCGGUUUCGCGGCCCCUAAAAUCAGUGGCGGUGCCUGUCGGCUCUACGCGUAGUAAUACUUCUCGCGAUUGAGUUCGAUAGGUCUACUUGCCAGUAACCCCCAAUUUUUACAGGUUGACCUCGGAUCAGGUAGGGAUACCCGCUGAACUUAAGCAUAUCAAUAAGCGGAGGA
rnacentral:misc_RNA from 1 species